rnacentral:rRNA from 1 species
AAUUCGAUUGAGUUUGAUCAUGGCUCAGGAUAAACGCUGGCGGCGUGCCUUACGCAUGCAAGUCGCACGGGCGUCUCUUUCGGGAGAUGUCAGUGGCGGACGGGUGAGUAACACGUACGUGACCUGCCCUCUGGCGGGGGACAACGGCCCGAAAGGGUCGCUAAUACCGCAUGAGGUCCUUGGUGUGCGCACCGAGGACGAAACCUGAAAGGGGCCAGGGGAGGGGCGUGCGGGGGAUUAGCUGGUUGGUGGGGUAACGGCCUACCAAGGCGACGAUCCCUAGCUGGUCUGAGAGGACGGCCAGCCACAUGGGGACUGAGACACGGCCCCAACUCCUACGGGAGGCAGCAGCGAGGAAUCUUGGUCAAUGGGCGCAAGCCUGAACCAGCGACGCCGCGUGGGGGAUGACGGCCCUUGGGUUGUAAACCCCUGUUGUGUGGGACGAAGAACUGACGGUACCACACGAGGAAGCCACGGCUAACUACGUGCCAGCAGCCGCGGUAAUACGUAGGUGGCGAGCGUUGUCCGGAUUUACUGGGCGUAAAGCGCGCGCAGGUAGCACGUCAAGUCUGGUGUGAAAGCCUCCGGCUCAACCGGAGGAGGCCACUGGAGACUGACGCGCUUGAGGUGGGUAGGGGCCGGUGGAAUUCCCGGUGUAGUGGUGAAAUGCGUAGAUAUCGUGAGGAACACCAGUGGCGAAAGCGGCCGA